rnacentral:rRNA from 1 species
GAUGAACGCUGGCGGCGUGCCUAACACAUGCAAGUCGAGCGAUCUUCUUCGGAAGAGAGCGGCGGACGGGUGAGUAACGCGUGGGUAACCUGCCCUGUACACACGGAUAACAUACCGAAAGGUAUGCUAAUACGGGAUAACAUAAGAAAGUCGCAUGGCUUUCUUAUCAAAGCUUUUGCGGUACAGGAUGGACCCGCGUCUGAUUAGCUAGUUGGUAAGGUAACGGCUUACCAAGGCGACGAUCAGUAGCCGACCUGAGAGGGUGAUCGGCCACAUUGGAACUGAGACACGGUCCAAACUCCUACGGGAGGCAGCAGUGGGGAAUAUUGCACAAUGGGCGAAAGCCUGAUGCAGCAACGCCGCGUGAGCGAUGAAGGCCUUCGGGUCGUAAAGCUCUGUCCUCAAGGAAGAUAAUGACGGUACUUGAGGAGGAAGCCCCGGCUAACUACGUGCCAGCAGCCGCGGUAAUACGUAGGGGGCUAGCGUUAUCCGGAAUUACUGGGCGUAAAGGGUGCGUAGGCGGUCUUUCAAGUCAGAAGUGAAAGGCUACGGCUCAACCGUAGUAAGCUUUUGAAACUGUAAGACUUGAGUGCAGGAGAGGAGAGUGGAAUUCCUAGUGUAGCGGCGAAAUGCGUAGAUAUUAGGAGGAACACCAGUUGCGAAGGCGGCUCUCUGGACUGUAACUGACGCUGAGGCACGAAAGC